CAAGCCUGGAAAGGCCACGCUGUGGACCUUGGCACAGAGGUUAUGGGGGGCGACCCGGAGCGGAGGGUUUCAGGAAAACUAGAACCCAACCUCAUGGCCUGAAAAACUGGAGAGAAGCGGUCGCAGCAAUUUAGAGCCAGCGGCAAGGAUCACAGUCCGGGGGUCAGGUGACCAAAGCCAGUUUUUCAGCCCUUAACAAGGACCUGGCUUCACCCAGCCAAGCAUGAGUUAACGCAUCCAUUUUUACACACGAACAAACUGAGGCGCAGAGAUGAUCACAGCUUGCUGGUGGCGAACUCCGCUAGGGCCUUCUCUGCUACCCUAAGGAGGUCCGAGCGUAUGUUUUGGACUCCUUAACUCGGGAUACCGAUAUAAACGAAAAUUAAUAGGGUGUUGGAUGUUUUAAAUGUGUGCGGGAAUGUCAUUAUAUUGGCUAGAAUCAAACCUUAUUUAGACUUGUUUUGCACUUUUGUACACUUUAGUAAUUUUUAGUUUUAAUCAUAAGGGAGUUAAAGGCGAGCACAACUGGUAUCUUUUUUUUUUUUUUGAGACAUGGUCUCGCUCGGUCACCCAGGCUGGAGUGUAACGCUGUGAUCUCGGCUCACUGCAACGUCCGCCUCCCGGGUUCAAGAGAUUCUCCUGCCUUAGGCUCCCGAGUAGCUGGGCGUGCCACCACUCCCGGCUGAUUUUUGUAUUUUUAGUAGAGACGGAGUUUCACCAUGUUGGCCAGGUUGGUCUCGAACUCCUGACCUCAAAUGAUCCGCCUGCCUCGGCCUCCCAGAGUGCUAGGAUUACAGGCGUGAGCCACCGCGCCAGGCCUACAAGUAGUAUCUUAAGGCUUAGGGCCUCUGGUGGAAGUGAGCUCCACCUCCCUUCCUGUGUAGAAGGUAAAUGCAUUCAUUCAGUGAAUCCAACAUGCAUGAAAUCGUUUACGCACACCCAGAAGCCCACCUGCGAGCCACAGGAGCAGCCAUUCCAGGAAGCCAAGCUAUAAUGGGAGACUCAAGGAAUGGAGGCGGAGCUCCUGUUUUUAAGUCCUAGCUCCAACACUAGCCUUGUCAGCCCUCCAUUCUGAAUUACUGGGCGCCUCUGAGGCUUCUUGCCUCAUCUGCAAAUCAGGAACAACGGCAUAGAGUGGUGAAUGCAUCAAGUGGGAUGAUGUCUGCAAAUACGCAACCCGCUUACACAAAGAAUUAUCUUUCCAUAACCUUCCCUGGACCCCUAGGGCCAGCAGGGAAUCAUAGCACCCCUUUGUUUCUAGAGCCCGGAAAUCACUGGGUUUUUCCUCAAUCUGGAGCAGAGCUGGGUGCGAAUCUGCCCAACGGGUGGUAGGAACACCCGGAGCAGGAUAUUCAGGAGCGAGCGAGCUGGCCAAGCAUGCGCAGUAGCGGCGGGUUGGUUUGAGAAGCCGCCAGGGAGCCAGCGCGGCGACCUAGCUGCCUGGGGCAGGGGGUGGGGCCCGCCUUAUAUGGGAGCUGCGUGGGGACAAACUGCGCGGGCCCAACGCGCGGGGCUGAGAGACCGCCGCGCCUGCUCCGGGUCACUCCGGCCACCUGGGGGGCGUCGGCGCGCAGACGCUGACCAGUUCAGUAUUCAAACUUUUCAGGAGUGCUAGCUUACUCAUGACAGCGAUUUUCUGUAUCGGGGUUUCAUUGGUCGGUGGUUUAGGAGGUUUUGCUCAUUCAUUCGUUAACGUAAUUCCAACAACCUACACGUGUUUGUAAGCCCCCUUUCCAUCCACGACUUUGCCAUCUGACACAAAACAGACCAUCGCAGCCCGGCAGACGCUUUAGACAACAAACAGCAUGCUUGGAGCUUUUCAAUAGGAGGCAGUAAGGCUUGAUCAUCGCAGACGAGACGGAACGGGCACUUUCUUAGCAGAAAAUAUUUCUAUUGGAGCGUGAAGGAAGUUUCUGAAAGGGAAGAUUAUUAUAAGAUAAGGGGUUUGCUCAUCUUCUCAAACUUUAGUAUGCCUACUUUAAAGUGCUUUGCAAACUUGAAUGUUUAAAGGAAUCGCCUGGCGGUCUUGUGAAACUGCAGCUUCUAAUGGGCAAGUCAGAGAGGAAGCCUGAGACGUGGCAUUUCCAGCACGUUCGGGGAGUGAAGAUGCUGUCGGCUGCCACCCUCCCUGCAAGGAGCCAGGGGAUAGAUGACCUCUACGCAAACUGUGAGAGCUUAAAAUACUGAUAGUGAAAAACAGUUACAGAAGCUCUAGGCCGGGCACGGUGGCUAAUGCCUGUAAUCCCAGCACUUUGGGAGGCCGAGGAGGAUGGAUUGCCAGAACUCAGGAGUUCGAGACCAGCCUGGGCAACACGCUCCCUUCAAUGCGAAGUGGAAUCUCUUUCUCCACCUCUUCAAUAUGGCUUGCCCUGGAACUUCCCUUGGCACACAGAAUACAGCAGAAUUGGCUUCAUAUUGUUUUUAAGCCUUGGCCUCAGAGGCCUUGCAUGCUUCCUAACCCUGGCUCUAGGAAACUUGCUGCUGUCACAUAAGCAAGCCCAGGCUAACCUGCUGAAUGUUGGUGUGUCCCAGUCAAAUCCAGCACUGCAACCAAUAGCCAGCCAGCCACCAGACAUGCGAGCGGGGCCACCUCACACCAGCCAACCUCCACCAAGUCAUCAGAUGUAUGAGUGAGAACAGCCCAGAAUGACUGAGCCUGUUCAGACCAGCGGAACGACCAAGCUGACCAGUAGACUUAGGAGCAGUAAACAGAUGAUUGUAUGGAAGCCAUUCCGUUUAGGGUGUGUGUGUUAUUGCUUGCAUCCAAAUACAUCCUAUCUCAUCUAAUGAGAAAAGGCCCUGCUCAAGGGCUUUUGCAGCUAUAGUUGGCCCCGGAAGUGUCUUUGUGGUCAUUUCUUACUCUAUACACGAGGAGAUCAAGGCUCAGACCAGGUAGUGUGACUGUGGAAGACACUUUCCUUACCCGUCUGUGGCACUUAAAUCAAUGAAGCAGAUUCACAGAAGCGUGCAUGCUCACUGAACACAGUACUUGCAUUCCUACCUCCAAACCUUUGCUCCACCCAUGCAUCCAGUAAGAAUGCCCACUUCCCUCCUCUCCUCCAUCGAGUUCUUUCUUUGAGUUCUACCUUCCCUAGUCUUCCUCCACUGUACCAACCCACGGUGAUCCCUGUCUUUUCCAAAUGCUUUGUAACGUGGUAGGCACCACUCACUUGUGACUCAUUGGACUAUUUUAAAACUUGAUUUUCUGUGUCUCUUUUCCAACAAAAUUACAAAUUCUUUGAGGGUAAAAGGCAGGCCUAACAGUUCUCUGUACUCCUAGUAGUGCCAGUGUGGUAAAAAUUCAACUUGACAAUUAGCAAAACCAAUAAAUUCAUUAUACUAUUC